UACGAAGGUCCCAAGCGUUAUCCGGAUUUAUUGGGUUUAAAGGGUGCGUAGGUGGGUUGGUAAGUCAGUGGUGAAAUCUCCGGGCUUAACCUGGAAACUGCCAUUGAUACUAUCAAUCUUGAAUACCUUGGAGGUGAGCGGAAUAUGUCAUGUAGCGGUGAAAUGCUUAGAUAUGACAUAGAACACCAAUUGCGAAGGCAGCUCACUACACGGUCAUUGACACUGAGGCACGAAAGCGUGGGGAUCAAACAGG
rnacentral:rRNA from 1 species